rnacentral:lncRNA from 1 species
AGAAAACAACUCCAAAUUCUCAUUUCCAAACUGAAUUUUAUAGGUAACUCUUAAAUAAAACAUGCAUUAUUAUAUAAUAAUAUACAACACAAUUUAUCAGUGAUAUUAACUCUUAGAAGAUUGCAUAUUUGAGGCACAAUUGAACCUGAUUUAGAGGAUUGCAUGUACACAACUUUGGGAUUUGCUAUCCUCUUGUCAACUUCGUCAUUGGUCAUCUCAUAAAUAACCUGUUGAUUUUACAAAUCAAAUUAAUAAAUUAUAAGGUUGUCUAUAAAAGUUGACUAUCUAUGUUGAUAUAAACGGCAACUUUCACUCCAAAUUUCUGUUAAAUCUAGAGAAAAAAUGUUGUAAGCAUAAAUCUAUUUCUAAUUUUUCCCAUUAAAUUACUUACAUCUUUAGCAGCCUAGGCAAAACCAUGUAUAAGUAUAAAUAAUAAAUGAUUUCGGAUCAACAAAGUUUGUCCACACUUACAGCAAUGUCAAUGGAACCAAGUCCAAAAAGAACAACUGAAGAUCCUUAUUUCAGUUUUGUUGCAUUCAAAGUGCCACUCAAACCUGAUU